GCACAAGCGGUGGAGCAUGUGGAUUAAUUCGAUGCAACGCGAAGAACCUUACCUGGGUUUGACAUGCACUAGACGCGUCUAGAGAUAGGCGUUCCCUUGUGGCUGGUGUGCAGGUGGUGCAUGGCUGUCGUCAGCUCGUGUCGUGAGAUGUUGGGUUAAGUCCCGCAACGAGCGCAACCCUCGUUCCAUGUUGCCAGCGCGUUAUGGCGGGGACUCAUGGGAGACUGCCGGGGUCAACUCGGAGGAAGGUGGGGAUGACGUCAAGUCAUCAUGCCCCUUAUGUCCAGGGCUUCACACAUGCUACAAUGGCCAGUACAGAGGGCUGCGAGACCGCAAGGUGGAGCGAAUCCCUUAAAGCUGGUCUCAGUUCGGAUUGGGGUCUGCAACUCGACCCCAUGAAGUUGGAGUCGCUAGUAAUCGCAGAUCAGCAACGCUGCGGUGAAUACGUUCCCGGGC
rnacentral:rRNA from 1 species